GCCACGCUUUCAUUUUGUGGCCUUGCUUCAGCUGGGGGACGAAACAAAAGCCCUCUGAAGAUAGAUUCUUUCCUGAGUUUUUGAUAGCUACAAAACCUGAUCUCCAGAGGGUAUUACAUUUUGGGAGUGACUUAAUUUUACUCAUCCUCCAGUAGAGCCUGAGAUAAGGACCUAAGAACAGCAGUGUGCGAGAGCAUUUGGGGUGAACUUUGGCAAUGACCAGGAGUGGGAGUUGACUAGUAUUCAAAGAAAGAGAUGUAAAAGAAAAUGGAGAUAAAGAAAAGAGGGAAAACAAAGAUGUAGAGAAUUUGGAUUUCAGUUCAGCCCUUGGAUUAGUGCACAGGGGCCACAUUUCUGGAUCAGAACUCAGGCCCAGGGCAUCAUCACAUCUGUCACCAAUAAAAAAUGAGCUUGGUUGUCACCCCAAACAAGGAGAAUAGAAUCUAAGGAUUCUUAAGCCCAGGAUUCUCAAGCUCUGACUUCCUCAUUUCUUCUGAGGCUUCCCACUAGAGCUUUUAAAGUGCUCAACAAGGAGAUGGUUGGUUAGUUUCAUGAAAGAACUCAGUAAACAAUGAUUUCCAACCUUUGUAGGUCCCCACCCCUGUCUGAGACAGGCCAUUCCUCCAGAACACCAGGGGGAGCUGUUGUGCUGCCCAGUCCCAGCACCAAGAUGGCUCCCAUUGGAGUGUGGCUAUAGACAUAUGUGUAUUCAAACCAUCAGGACCCUGCUAGUCACAGAGAGCCGAAUGUUUGAAACUGGGAUGGUCCUAGAGUUUCCAGAACUGUGGUGGUCAAUGACCAUGGAGGGAAAUGUAGUUUCUAUCAUAUCUGGAAGCUGCUAUCUCCCCAAACUUCUCCCUUUCACCUCAGUCCCCUGCUGUGUUUCACUUCUUGAUGAGGUCUACAAUAAAGUAAGUGAAAAGUGAAGCCAUCCUAAAGUAAUACCAGAGAGCAUCUUGGAAGGAAAAGAUGUAGACAGAAACGUCUCUGUCACCAUGUAGCUUACAUUCUGUGGCUCCUACUUCCUGGAAUGUCUUAUUCACUGAUAAUUUCCAAGGUUUCCUAAACCUGGGGU